AUGGACGAUUUUUGAGAAAAUGUAAGGCUUUUAGGUGCGCCUUAUAGUGCGGAAAAUACUGUAUAGUAUAUAGUAUUUCCUGCAUAGCUAAGUUUUGAGUAAUGUAAACCAAAUAAUUAGUUUACACAUUAAGGUUGCUACCAGUCAGUAAGUCUUGUUACCUUUAAGUAUAACUCAAACUAUCUUUUUGAAUUUAUUGUAGCAUCAUGUCCAUAAUUGGCAGAAUGUAAAUAUCGUUGGGUGCAUAAUAUUAAAAUAAUCUUAUUAGCUGUCACAAAUGUUUGACUUGCAAUGAUAUAUGCUUCUUUUCCCCUCAGGUUACAGAUUUUGUUACCUUGCCAUAAUAAACUGGUUGAGCCAUCCCUUAGCCCCAAACAGACCAUGACUGGAGCGCUUGUGAAAAAACUCUUUCAUCAGAAGUCCAUUUAUGUCAGAACAGACAAGGUGGUGAUAACAGAGGGAAAAGAACUUUCAAUUCUAGAUGGAGACAGUCAACAUACAAACAGCAGUGAACCCCAAGAAGUAUCAGAUGACAUAAAUGAUGCCACACAGUCUCUCUCCAGUGUUGAUCAAAUUAUCUGGUGUGCAGCCACCCAAGCUGUUUUUACAGAUGUACCUACUGUAGCAUCUCAAAAGACACCAAUGCAAUGUCUAGUUGUGCUGCUGUCAUCACCAUUGAUGGUACUCACACCUUGCCCAGUCAAGCUCCUGUCAUCUCCAGUGGUGACACAGACGACUUUCCCAUUGUAUCAUCUGCCAUCUACAGCAAUCCCAUCAAUGGUUUGUCCUGUGGCACCAAUUUAAAUUCAAGUGAUGACACACGUGACUGUUCUGCUACUAACACCUCCGCCGUAACCAGUGACCAUUCCCCUCCCAACUCUGGUGCUAUAGCCUCAACUGUCUCCAGUGCAUCCAGCAAUAAUGUAACCCGAACCCCUUACUGGUUAACUGUUUCCAUUGUUCUGUGUUUAAAAAUCAUUGUUGUUUUUUUUAGAUUGUGUUAGUGUUUAUUUACAAAACUGCCAUAUGCACAAAGUGAAAUAGUAUCUUGCAAACAUGUUUCAGUUCUUAUGUUCUUCCUUUUGUAAUACUUAUCUGGACCUAUUUGAGGAAGAAUAUUUCUCUGAUGAUCCUGGUCUCCAGGAAGCCAUUUCAAGAUCUUUGACUGAAGGAACCAAUGAGAGAUACGUUUGAAGGGAAUAAUGGAGCAGAUCACUUCGAGAAUAAAUAAUGAUGAAACUGUGAGCUUUAACAUAAUAAGAAGGAAUGUGUGGGAUGGAGCUGCCAGAGCCAUGGGCUGUUCCAAUUUUGCAUCAGAAAAGAAGAUGGAUAUAAAUUUCACAGAUGAUUACGGAAUAUCUGAGACAAUGGAGGGCCUACCUGGGAGUUCAGGUUAUGUCUUUAUGAAAUCAAGGACAAUAUUGGAAUCUUUGAGGGUCCACCUAAUGCUAAAGUCCUCACAUGCAAUUCCAGAGCAAUAAAAGACAAUGGAUACUUCCGUGCUGGUCAGAUCAUGGCUAUGUCACUUGGCCAUGGGGGACAGAGUCCAUGCUUCCUAUCUGAUGUCUUGUACGAAUGUCUUCAAAAGGGUCCAGACAAUGUAAAGGCCAGAAUCGAACAUAUUAAUGAUGAUGAGACAAGGUCACAGGUGCAAUCGAUUUUAGAAGCUGAGACAGAAUCACAGCUGGAAGAUGCAGUUGCUAGGGCAGCCAGCUUGAUUAGUCUUGCAGGUCAUAAUGUGCUUGUAACACUGAAAACCAAAGAAGAGACUGCAAUGGACUUGGCUCAUUGGUAUGUCCUCCCGUGCACCUUUUGAAAGGUUCUGUGAUGGCUUAAAGGCGCUUUGUGUCUUAGAUGCAAAUCUGCAAAUGAUGUGUCUUUUGGUGAAGCCCGAGAAGGCUUUAACAGCAGCUGAUCUAGAGAGUCUGUUCCAAAUAAUUCCUUCUGAAAGGGGGAGUAAUCGAUUUCAACAGGAGUGCCACACUGUUGCUUUUUGGCAAGACUAUCUUCAGGAUGCUGAAUUUGAGAAAGAUGUCUCCCUGGAAGAAACUCUUGUUUUCUUCACUGGAUGUGACCGCAUUCCUGCACUGGGGUUCUCUCCAAAGCCAACCCAUGAGUUCAUCACCCAUUCACGAUUUCCACUGGUUAACACUUGUGAACAUAUUCUUUGCAUAUCAAUCUAUGUAGAAUAUGCUAAUUUCAAAUCUGACAUGGAUUUUGCUAUACGCAACUCCCCAGGUUUUGGAAGGGCUUGAGAGGUUUUGUGCUUUUAUUUUUUGCUUUUUUGCAAUUCUGAAGUAAAAAAGAUGGAUUGCAGUUUCUGUUCAGACAAUUUCGCAUAUUUAUUUUUUCUGGAACUUAAUAUUUGAAAAAUUCAACAUUCUAAGCAAAUGUUCAGUUCAAACGUUGCUGGGUGCUAACCUUUAGUUAAAUUAGUUUAAUGGUGGUUUUAUAGGGAGUUAUUUUGGGCAACAGAAAUCUUUACUAUUGUGACACCUUGAUGUGUAAACAUUCCAUAGGCCUCCUGUAAUUACUGAAUCUAACCCUGCAAAUAACUAGUUUGUUGUUUCUAUUUUGAACAUGCUCAUUCAUUGUCCUCAGAGAAUCUGUCCAUAAAUGACAAAACUGGAGCCCACUAUAUUCAAGCUUUAAAUGAGUGAAACAAUGGCGUAAGUUUGAUUUUAUCAUUGGUGGGGACAUAAUUUAUUUGACAUUGGUGGGGACAACAUUACGUAUUUUGUGCAUAAAACUAUUGUUAUAAGAAUACUUUCUUCCUCACAUUCCGGUAGCCUUCAUAAUAACGUUGCAUAUUGCUUCAUACAACGGAAUAUAGCUGCAGCCGACCUCAACACAUUAGCGAGAAAGACAAAGCCAAUCAAACAGCAACAUGGGUUAGA